GAUGAACGCUGGCGGCGUGCCUAAUACAUGCAAGUCGAGCGAACGGACGAGAAGCUUGCUUCUCUGAUGUUAGCGGCGGACGGGGGAGUAACACGUGGAUAACCUACCUAUAAGACUGGGAUAACUUCGGGAAACCGGAGCUAAUACCGGAUAAUAUUUUGAACCGCAUGGUUCAAAAGUGAAAGACGGUCUUGCUGUCACUUAUAGAUGGAUCCGCGCUGCAUUAGCUAGUUGGUAAGGUAACGGCUUACCAAGGCAACGAUGCAUAGCCGACCUGAGAGGGUGAUCGGCCACACUGGAACUGAGACACGGUCCAGACUCCUACGGGAGGCAGCAGUAGGGAAUCUUCCGCAAUGGGCGAAAGCCUGACGGAGCAACGCCGCGUGAGUGAUGAAGGUCUUCGGAUCGUAAAACUCUGUUAUUAGGGAAGAACAUAUGUGUAAGUAACUGUGCACAUCUUGACGGUACCUAAUCAGAAAGCCACGGCUAACUACGU
rnacentral:rRNA from 1 species